rnacentral:lncRNA from 1 species
GGCGAAUCGAAUUUGUCGCAUGGCCAACAAGUCGGUAACUUACUGUCGGACACACUUUGCAAAUGCAACACCGCACGGCAUUUUAUCUUCGUCUCUGUCGUAUGUACUACAGAACUUUGAGGGUCCUAACCAAGUUUUCUACCUUUCAGGGCUAAAGCGCCCGGAUCCUCAAGGGGAAUGAGGUGGGUGGAAAGGAGGCGGAGUCACACUUCUAUCUCUACCUCCUUAGAGUACUAAACGGAAGCACUUUGUUAGACGUACUCUUGGGAUUGUUAGAGGAACUCAAGGGUCUUGAAAGGAGCCUGAUCAAGGCUAAAAUUCUCUCUUGAAGAAGGUAAACAAAAAAUUUAAAAGAUGCGAAGAAGUUGACCAAAAAAAGAUGUGUGGAGAAGGACAUCUCAACGCCGUGACCCUGACCUCAGGGCUGUUGUCAUCGGGCCCUCAUCCCUUUCAUCUCCUGAUGCUCUCUCCUGGCCCCUGUGACCAUCUCAAUCUUCCUCCCUGUUCCAGAAGGGUGGAAAAGGCAAACGGCUUAUUCAGUACAUGCAUCUCCCAUUCCAGGCCAACAAAAGCCUUCCCAUGCUCCAUGCCUGAGUCCUGCUCCCAGGUUGCAUCCACUGUCAAAAAUGCUGGUCCUGAUUGUUGGGUGGUUCUCCUAACAAUGACUCAGUCAAGCUUUUUACAUCUCACUCCACCAUCUUCAGCACUUGGCUUCUGUUGGUUCCUUCAAGAUAGCAGAGGGAGAAAGAGCAUGAGAUGUUUCCUUUGGUAAGAAAGUUGGGCCAGUUUUUAUUAACCAUUUU